AGAUUUCAGCAAAAAAAUCUAACUAUAAUAAGGUCAAGUUCCAGUCGAUACUGUUAAUUUUUAUCGUUCUUCAUACCAAAGUAGGUCCUUGGUGAUGGUCUGACGAAUUUCGGCGAUGAAUCUUCGCUGCUUAACAACGAAAGGCUGAAUAUCUCAAGGUUGGAUUACUGGUAAUGUUGGAGAUGAAGAUGGUGGCUUUUUAUUUUAGAAGAAAAGUGAAGGAUAAAGUUCUCACGUUUGCUUAAUGUAUCCCUAAAUUAGGCUCCGUAUCCUCUUGUUUAAUUAAAGACACAGUUACAAGAUUUAGAGCAAUUACAGUUUCAUGGAAUAAUUAUCCCAUGAACCAAAUGAGGUAAUGAAUAUUACCACAUCAGUAAUAGCCAUUACAAUAAGGAUAUAUUCAGAUAUUUUCUGCCAACCAAAUAGGCUGUUAAUUACCUAGGUUUAUCCCAGUACGCGUGUCCUUGUUAGCAGAAGUGGGUGAUAGAGUUUAUAGAUGUUCGAAAAAGGAGCCUGCAGAUUGUAGUGGACUCGACUUGUAGGUUUGUUCGUGUAUUCACAGAAUCCAACUUCGACAGUACACAAGGUGUUUGAUGGUUUGCCUUGAUGUGUUGAAAGGACUUGCUUUUGGUUCAAUACUCCUACUUCAUCUGCCAAUAUACGAUUCAUCUCCUAUGCGUUCUUCUUUAACUUAAAAAUUCUGCUGCUAUAUGCCUCGGCAACUAUGGGGUUUUCAUCAGAUGAUGUGAGCUAAAUAGCCACUUCAGUUAUUAAAUUUAUGUUGGCCCUUGAUAUAUAUAUAUAUAUUGUUCAACUGCUGGAAAGAUAGUUAACACCUUAUCUUUUUAUCGUUCAGCUCCAUGAAGCUUACGUGCCUUAGCAAAGGUGGCAGCUUUCAGUUCCCACCAUGUCAUAUGGUUAAUAUAUGUGGAUUUAGGAUCUUGCUUGAUUGCCCAGUGGAUCUUUCAGCUCUAACGAUCUUCUCUCCUGUCCCUACUUGUUUUGACUCUCCUGCUGACAAAGGAACUUCUGAUUGUCCUAUAUAUACAUCAUUGGAUACUGAAGCUGUAUCUCAGAAAAGGGAGAAAAUUGAAAAUCCACUUGAUGCAAGUAAUUUAAUACAGGCAGAACCCUGGUUCAAAACUGUAAAGAGUUUGCACUUGUGGGAUGUUUCCUUCAUUGAUAUUGUGUUAAUCUCAAGUCCAAUGGGAAUGCUCGGGUUGCCCUUUCUCACUAAAAACAAAGGCUUUUCUGCCAAGAUCUAUGUGACUGAAGCAACAGCAAAAAUUGCACAGCUUAUGAUGGAAGAUCUCAUUUCAAUGCACAUGGAAUAUAGACAGUUAUAUGGAAAUGAGGAAUCUGGUUACCCUCAGUGGAUGAAUUGGGAAGAACUUGAGAGACUUCCAUCUGCAAUUAGGGAGAUAGCUCUUGGCAAUGACAUCGAGGAUCUGGGCUGUUGGAUGCCCUUAUACAGUGUUGAUGAUGUGCAGAGUUGCUUGAGGAAAGUACAAACACUUAAAUAUGCUGAAGAAGCUUGCUAUAAUGGGAUAUUGAUCAUAAAGGCAUUCAGCUCUGGUUUAGAAGUCGGCUCAUGCAAUUGGACAAUAAAUAGCCCAAAAAGAAAUAUCACUUGUAUAUCAGGCUCCAUCUUUGUUUCUCCUCAUGCAAUGGAUUUUGACUUUCAUGCUCUUCGUGGGAAUGAUCUGAUCCUAUAUUCAGAUUUCUCUCCCCUUUACACCAGUGAAGAUCUUGAGUGUGGUAGCAAUUGCUCUAUUGCAAUUACAAACAAUUUUUCAACUCUGAGUGGUGAUAACAAUUGGGAAGAAUUGGCUGCAUCUUUACUUGACCAAAAUGAGAGUUUGGAGGAAAUGGAGAAGCUAGCUUUUAUAUGCUCUUGUGCUAUAGAUUCCAUUAAAGCUGGUGGUUCUGUUCUUGUAACCAUUAGUCGGCUUGGUAUUACUCUGCAGCUCUUGGAGAUGAUGGCUGUUUUCCUGGAGUCUUCGUCUCUAAAUGUUCCCAUAUAUGUUAUUUCUUCUGUGGCAGAAGAGUUAUUGGCUUAUGCUAACUCGAUACCAGAGUGGCUAUGCAAGCAGCGGCAAGAGAAGCUGUUUUCUGGUGAGGCAUUGUUUGCACAUGUUGAACUCAUAAGAGGGAAGAGGGUUCAUUUGUUUCCUACAAUUCAUUCACCUACAUUACUGAAAAAUUGGCAAGAAUCCUGUAUCAUCUUUUCUCCUCAUUGGAGUUUGCGGCUUGGUCCUUCUGUUCAUUUGCUUCGUCAUUGGUGCCAAGAUCCCAGAUCAUUACUUGUUCUUGAGAAUGGAGUAGAUGCUAGUUUAGCUCUCUUGCCUUUCAAACCAAUGGCAAUGAAAGUUCUUCAAUGUUCAUUUCUCUCUGGAAUAAGGUUGCAAAAAGUCGAACCUUUGCUCAGGUUGCUGCAACCAAAGUUAGUUCUUUUCCCUGAUAAUUUUAGGCAGCUGAUCAGUUUGUCAGAUCUAAAUUCAAACUCAGUUUCACAUUAUACUGAAAAUGAAAUGUUACGUGUACCAAGCUUCAAAGAUUGUUCAGAAGUAGAGAUUGCAAUUGAUUUGGCCUCAGAAAUGCGCUGGAAAGAAAUAAAAAAGAAGUCCAUUAAUGCCACAAGGUUGAAGGGAGAGCUCCUAAUGCAUGAAGGACAAUGUAAAUUAUUCUCUGGGCUUGAGCCAACAAAGUCCAGGCAGUUAUGGCCACUAGUGCUUUGGGGUUCACCAAACUUGGAAAGACUUCAGGCUGUAUUAUUGAAGAUGGGCAUUAGUGGAACGGUAGAACAAGUCAUGGGUGAUGAUGAAUCCAAAAAUUCUGGUAUCAUAUGUGUCCACAGUCCUAACCAGGCCUUAAUAGAAGUUCAGGCAACAUCUACUUUAAUCAAUGCUGCUAAUGAGAAUCUUGCCUCUCGUAUUUUUGAGGCCAUUUCUAGUAUCUUGGAUGGCAUUUGAAAGGAAAGGGAUCGGUGGUUUUUCUUUAACCAUCUUAGGCUGCUUGGAGAGGUACAUUUAAAAUUGCUUUGCACCUGAAGUAAGAUUCUCCUUCAGUCAUGAAAGUCCUAAUGAGUUUCUUCCUGCAAUACCCAUUGUACAUGUACUGACAAGAUGCUGGCAAAUCAGUUGAAAUUUGUUCUUUCCAGUCUAUGAUUAUAAUCAAUAUGCUUAUCAGGCCAGUUAAAGAAUCUCUGAAAUAGUGCUGGUCCAUGAGUUUUUUAGCAACUAUAGCAGGGAAAGCACCUCUUCUUUGAGCCUAUUGAAAUUGAUCAAUGUGAAGGGUCUGGAAAUGAUUGCUUGAAAGCUUUUUUCUAAAGGAAGGAGGGAGAGAAGGAGGGUCUAAGCCACAGAGAUCCUCCUCUAUUAAUGAUGUGCAGAUGAAGAUUUACAGAAGGUGUUUCAGAAGAGCAGAUUGCUUCAGAGUCUAUUCAGCUGGCAUGAUUACUGGAAUUCAUAUGUAGAUGCAGAAGAUUGCUUGGUUCUUUUGGAGAAGACCAGCUAUGUGUGUUAUUGAUGGGUUAAAAGCUUAUCAUUUCUAGAUGCAGUUUUUGUGGGAAAUAGAAGCGAUUGCUGCUUGAACCAAACUGCACUGCAUGGGGUUCUUGAUCCAAUACAACAUCUUGUCACCAAGAGAGUUGGAAAUGGUUUGCAUUCAGAGACCUUCUAUACCAACGAGCUCCUUUCAACUGCUUGAGUUGGGGAGUGUUUUGAAGAAUGCCUGUAAAUAUUUUUCUGGUUUCUGCAGUGGACUAUAAGAAAGAACAGAUGGUUGCUCAAGAUUUUAUGAAGCAGUGGUGCAUAAUAUAGUAUUUAUUGCUUGGA